rnacentral:misc_RNA from 1 species
UUAUAAUUUUACCUCUUAUACACACACACAUACAAGUCCAUGAAGUAUCAUAACGAAGGCUUUCUUGAAGUUGGGUUUGGGUUUUGGGGGAACGCAUUUUCAGAAUUUAACAUGUCAAAUGAAUUCAAAAAGUUCACAGGAAUAUAUGCCAUCAAAAGAAGUGACAAAAGAAUGAUUAUUGGAGGAUGUUAUAUGCAGACAUAGUGCAAUAUUGCUAUGAACAAAGGGAAGGCAACUUAAAGGACAAGGAAGAGGGCAAGUGUCCAGUCCUCCUUAUAUAAUCUGCCCUUUCACCAGUCCUUACAGCUUUCUCAUUCAGCUUGUCCUCAGCAUUUGCACGUUUCUCUUCAGCUAUUCUUUUUGUUGCUGCGAGUUUGCUUGCCAACUUUUCUUGUGCACGAGCUUUCAUUCUCUCGGCUUUCACCUCCAUUUUCCUCAUUUCCAUUUCUGCUUUCCUCUUCUCAUGAUUUUCCCAGGCUUGUAUCUUCACCUCUUCACGCUUGUACCUUGCCCUAUAUUUGGCACGUUCUGCCUCAUCCCAAGCCAUAGCUCUUGUCUCCAAGGGAUUCAGAUUUCCUGCUUCAUCUAAAUCCUUAUUCUCAGGCAUCUUAGAACCAUUAGGUUCUUCUCCAUGGCGCCUUCUGGCAGCAGAACUGAGCUCACCGGUAGGUCUGAAGCCUGCUGGAUAGCCCUGAUCAGCGCCUUGCUGCCCAUAUUUAUGCCUUACUGGAGUGGAGGAUCCUGAAGAUAUGGGGCUCCUUGCUGCUGGAGUUCCAGCUCUAAUAGGAGUUGCUGUUCUUGAGGGCUCUUGGCUGGCAAUUGGGGUCAUCUCAGUCCCCAUAUCCCUAACGCAUAUUGAUCUAAGAGUAGAUGCAUUAGAAUUCUGCACUGGCUUAUUGAUUCUCCAAAUGGACUCAUCACAAUCCACCUUCUUAGUUUCCACUUCAUAAGGAUUUGUCACUGAAGCAGGGCACCCAUUUGGUUCUUGUCCUUCAACUUCAUCUUCAUCACUUGGAUAGUCUUGUUCCUGCUGCCGAACUGGAGCUAUCAGUCUCCUAUCAUCAGCAUUUGAGGUUCUUGGCUUGGAUUGGUUUUUAUCCCCUCUUGACAACCCAACUAGCCAUUUUUGUGCAUCAUCCCAUUUGGAUGGUGUUGGCUUGCCUAAGGCUGUCCUGUGAUGAGAAGUGCGGUUUGCUCCACUGCCUUUAUGAAACUCAAAACUUAUUCCCUUGCUAGUUGAAAUCUCUUGAAUUGGUCCAUGACUGUAGCAACCUUUAUCCUCUAUGGAUCUCAUUCUCUAAACAAAAGCUUUCUUAACUACUUCCUUCAAGAAACAUGUGUGACUAAAACCCAGAACCCCACAUAGCUUUGUAUGUCAGUGAAUGGAUGAAAGAGUCUAAUUCAUAACUUUGAAGAGCAGAUCCCAAGUAAAGCAAAACGGUUCUGAUCCCAUAUAUCUUGAAAUCUAAACCUUUAUAUCUACCUUUAGGUCUCUUAUUGUUACAAAAGAUAUAGAGAGGCAAAGAAAAUGGACCAAGAUUCAUUCCCCAUAAAACACUUGCUCUUAAAUAUGAGAACAAAUAUCAAACAACUGGCAUGCAUUUGUUUGGAACCUAAUUAAGCUAGCAAUGUCAGUUAAAUCUUCUCUAGUGCAUUAAUGAUCCAAUAAAAAGGACACAUUAAAUAUCUCCCCAUCCCUCUAUCUAUGUACAGAAAAUGUAAAAUAUACUUUCCCAAGUAAUAAAAACCAAUUUCCUAAACUUGUCAUAUCAAACAAAAAGCCAAUAGUGCCUAACAGGAACUCUCAUAGUACCUCAAACUUACUUCACACGGCAGCUGGGGUCUGGGAGAAGGGAGAACCCAUGUGCAAUGCAUAAUUAAUUACCCAGCUUAAACUCAUUGUGACCCAUAUAUUAAAAAAAGGAGGGAGAAAAGGGAGGAAAUGAAAACCCAAUAAUGCCUAAAAGCCAAAAAGCUGAAAGCACGCAUGUGUUCAAUAGUACAUUAAAUAAAACAGAACCCAUCAUCAAAACUUCAUGAUUGUCUAGAGCUAAAAAAGCAAUUAUUUUGGAUCCGAAAGAAUAAGAGCAGUAAAAAAGCCAGAGAAGGGUUUUGUGCAUUAAAAAAGCCAGAAAAUGUAGGAAAUGCUCAUCUGCAAAGGAAAAAAUUCCUUAAAAUCAUGAAUUCUGGAGACAAUCUAGCACCAAAACCAUAGAUGGGGAAGUUCAGAUCCAUUGUGCAUUAAAAUACUAUAAAGAAAUAAAUAAUCUGCAGCAACCAUUGAAACUCGUGUGUUCACUUUACAAAUUACAGAUAUCCUCCUUUUUUUCUGUUUAACCCACAAAGGUAAUCCAG